AACGAACGCUGGCGGCAGGCCUAACACAUGCAAGUCGAGCGGGACCUUCGGGUCUAGCGGCGGACGGGUUAGUAACGCGUGGGAACGUGCCCAAAGGUACGGAAUAGCCUCGGGAAACUGAGAGUAAUACCGUAUGUGCCCCUCGGGGGAAAGAUUUAUCGCCUUUGGAUCGGCCCGCGUUGGAUUAGGUAGUUGGUGGGGUAAUGGCCUACCAAGCCGACGAUCCAUAGCUGGUUUGAGAGGAUGAUCAGCAACACUGGGACUGAGACACGGCCCAGACUCCUACGGGAGGCAGCAGUGGGGAAUCUUAGACAAUGGGGGAAACCCGUGAUCUAGCCAUGCCGCGUGAGCGAUGAAGGCCUUAGGGUUGUAAAGCUCUUUCAGAUGGGAAGAUAAUGACGGUACCAUCAGAAGAAGCCCCGGCUAACUCCGUG
rnacentral:rRNA from 1 species